rnacentral:siRNA from 1 species
UGCCAAUUCUAGCUAUGGUUGGG